CCUUUCUCUCUCAAAGCUUGUAGCUAGUCUGGCCCCUUUCAUGCCAUUAAAACGACCAGAUUCUCCCCUUCUCAAGGCCUUCACAUGUCCUGCCUUCUGUCUCGCAUUUCCAUCACCCCACCCCAAAAUUUCAUAUUCUCUUUCUCUCUCUCAUCACAUAGUCAGCCCCUUCUCAUUCUUUCCAUCUCAAUUUAAAUGUGACCUUCCUGUAUGAAGUUUCCAUAAACUGGAUUGUCUGAAUCCAAAUGGCUAAUAGGCUCCUAUUUUCAUUAUGUGCUCAAAGUAUCUAUUUUAUGAUGCUUUGUUCAAAAAAAAUGAUAAAAGGGAGGUAGUCUCAGGAGGAUAAAAGUGCUGGUAUAGAGGUGCAAAAGUGUAAAUAGUAGUCUGUUAGUCUGUUGGCCAGCUUGGUUCUAGGGAGCUUAAGGAGGAAGAGAGAGAGAACCACGGCAAAUGCUGAAGGCACUGUUUUGAUUGAGGGCACAGGAAGCAAGGUCACUGGCCAGGGUGGCAGUGGAAGGAUUCCUCCCUUAGUAACUUGGGGGCAGCAGAUUUCAGCAAGCAAAGCAAAGCAGAUAAAAGUGAGCAGACUUGUUCUCAAGCACAGGUGAGAUACCCUUGGAGAUUCCAGUACAUCAGUGGGGAGCCAGAGGGGAGGCUCAGGCCCUGCAGAUGGAGUUCUGCAAUGGAGGGGAAUCAUGUCUAUCCUCAGGCUGUCAGAUUUGAAGUUACUUGGGUGAAGUAAGUGACGCCUGGGAUAGUAACAGCCAGCGAUUAUCAGCAGUUGCAGAUCUGUUUCUAUACUAAAGCAGAUAAAAGCAUCCAGGAAUUAUCAAAAGCCACAAAUCAAUCCCAGUGUCUUGUCAUGCACCCACACAGCACUUUUCCCUUUCCUCACAGCUACUUAAUGGAUACUGGCAAGCCGUCAAACAGACAAACAAAGAAGUGAGGAUAAAUGAUGCUUUCCAAAUUUAAGAUUUACAUAGGAAAUCCUGUGAUAAGCCACCAUUCUUCACACCAGGCAGCCCAGGUUAGAAGGCUCUGGAGUCCCGUAAUGCUCAACUAGGUUAAUACUCAACUAGGUCAAGACUCAACUAAGACAAUAUCAAGGAAUCAGACAAUGAAAACUCUACCUUGUCCCAUCAAAGCUUCUGUAUCUCAGGAUGGAGGCAAGAAGGCUGACAUUGAAACUAUUUCCACAGGAUAAGAUUGAGGUCACAAGCAUUUACUGAAAGACUUAAGCAAAAAUGAGCAGCAAUAUUAAGAAAGAAAUAAGGUAAACAAAUAGAUGGCUACAAGAGUGGCCUUAUUAAAGUCUUC